rnacentral:rRNA from 1 species
CCUACGGGAGGCAGCAGUGGGGAAUAUUGCACAAUGGGGGAAACCCUGAUGCAGCGACGCCGCGUGAGUGAAGAAGUACUUCGUUAUGUAAAGCUCUAUCAGCAGGGAAGAAAAUGACGGUACCUGAGUAAGAAGCCCCGGCUAUCUACGUGCCAGCAGCCGCGGUCAUACGUGGGGCACGCGUUAUCCGGAUUUACUGGGUGUAAAGGGUGAGUAGGCGGUUUGGCACGUAUGGAGUGAAAUCCACGGGCUUAACCCAUGAACUGCUAUUGAAACUGUCGAGCUUGAGUGAAGUAGAGGUAGGUGGAAUUCCCGGUGUAGCGGUGAAAUGCGUAGAGAUCAGGAGGAACACCAGUGGCGAAGGCGGCCUACUGGGCUGUAACUGACGCUGAGGUACGAAAGCGUGGGUAGCAAACAGGAUUAGAUACCCUUGUAGUC